UCCUAGAAAGAGCCGCCCUCACGGCCUCUUCAGAAGGCAGCCGGUGCGUGCCAGAGCCAUCUCCGCUGCCCGGAGCCCUUGGUGCUCAGAGCAGGGAUGCUGCGCCCGCAGGGGGAUGCUUCCCGUGCUGCUGGGGGUGAAACAGGGGGGGCUGCGGGGCUGGAGGGGGCCGCAGCCACUCCUGCAGGAGGGACGUGGGAGGCAACUGGUGUGCCAGCGGGCGCGGAGGAAUGCGGCAGCAUGGGGGUGGGGGGGGGGGAGGACAGAAAUUAAUAAUUAUCUAAAGCGCACCCCUAUCACUGUUCAUCAAAAUUUGCCCAUACUUCAUUCCAGCCUCCUUUCUUCUUCUUGCCUCCAACCAGACCUGGACCAGUGGAGUGCUUGGUGUCAGCAUCCAAGUGUGUGCUUUCAUGCACAGCGUAUGCAAAUGCCAGGCAGAUGUGACCGGCUGGUUUUGUACCAGAUCCCUGGGGUUUCUGAUGCCCUUCCUGUCCCGGACCUGCAGCUGGGCUGCUCCUGGCACACGGCACAGGUGGGGGCUUGGAAACGUGGAUUUGGGAUCUGUGGGGCUGGGCUGCUCCAGGCUCUGCGGCCGGGCCAUGAGCCCCCGGUGCUCGGCACGUUUGUCCCCGCAGAUCACCCUCACCAGCUCCCGACACGCACUUCUGGGGAACCUUUUAUUUAAAGUAUUAGGCAGGUUAUAAAAACGUCACCGAUGAUUUGCUCGUGUUUUCUAAACUGUCGUUAAAAAUUUACAGUCAGGACAAAAUGCAAAGGAUGCGGAGGGGGGAGGGAGAAAUCCUCGUGCUUUAAGCUGAGUCUCUCCAUAAAUUAAAGAGAUUUGCUUUUGAGGGUGGUCCGCAGAGCUGCGUGCCAAAAUUGUGUGUGUUCAAAGAGAGAGGAUCAUGAGGUUAAGUGUUGGAAAAGGGGAGGAGAAAAGUAACUUAUUUCAGAGAGCGGCAGGCGAAGCAGGGAGAGGUCCUCGCACCGGCCCGGGCACCCACGGGGGCCCUGGGGCAGGGCUGGGAUAAUCCUGGCCACUAGCGUGCGGAGCCGUGCUCCUGUGCUGGGGAAUUUUCUGGUUGCUUUCGGGGAUUACUGAGACGCUGGGGGCUGCAGGGAAGAGCUGCAGAGGGAGAAAUGGCGUAAACUUGCAGAGCAGCACCGGGGGCCUCUCCCACCCGAGUUUUGCGCCGGGACUCAGCAGGGGCGCAGCAGGAUGGAUGAAGACCCGCACAGACGAAGCGUGUGCAGCCUUGGGCUGCUCUCGCGUUCGCUCCCCGCCCUCAGAAAGCAGCAGGCAGGGUUUUACGGCUCAGGAGAGCUCCUGAGCAGUUUAUUAGCCGGGAUGAUUGCUUUUCUGUUCAGAUGGCUCCUGUUCCCUGCACAUUAUUUAUCACGAGAGUGCGAAAUCUCCCUGCAGCUGGGCGGAGGGGUGCGGGCAGCCCCUCGGUGCUGGCAGCGAGGUGCUCGGGGUGGGGGGGGGAGCAGCGACCUCCAGCCCGGGGCAGCACGGCCAAACCUGGGAUAACCAAGGAAGAACCGAGGAAGGAGCCCCAGGGCCCCCAGGCCCGCAGAAGCAGCGGGCAGGGAGCGUCCGUGAGCCUGAGCCUCGCUGCUGGCAGCCCGGGGGGCGGGGAGUGUCAGAUUUGGGAAAGGCAGCUCUCCCCCCAGCUCCGGGUGAG
rnacentral:lncRNA from 1 species